rnacentral:lncRNA from 1 species
UGGGUAGGCUUUUUCCGUGGCCUUCAGAAUAUAGCAUCUUUUGUGGGGCAGCCAGACCAUUAAUUAGAAAAUUGCCUUCAUCUUGGAUGCUGGCGUUUCUUG